GACGAACGCUGGCGGCGUGCCUAAUACAUGCAAGUCGAGCGAAUCUGAUGGGAGCUUGCUCCUUGAUGAUUAGCGGCGGACGGGUGAGUAACACGUGGGUAACCUGCCUGUAAGACUGGGAUAACUCCGGGAAACCGGGGCUAAUACCGGAUAACUUUUUUCUUCGCAUGAGGGAGAAUUGAAAGAUGGCUUCGGCUAUCACUUACAGAUGAACCCGCGGCGCAUUAGCUAGUUGGUGAGGUAAAGGCUCACCAAGGCGACGAUGCGUAGCCGACUUGUGAGGGUGAUAGGCCACACUGGGACUGAGACACGGCCCAGACUCCUACUGGAGGCAGAAGUAGGGAAUCGUCCGAGAUGGACGAAAGUCUGACGGAGCAACGCCGCGGGAGUGAUGAAGGUUUUCGGAUCGUAAAACUCUGUUGUUAGGGAAGAACAAGUAUCGUUCGAAUAGGGCGGUACCUUGACGGUACCUAACCAGAAAGCCACGGCUAACUACGUG
rnacentral:rRNA from 1 species